rnacentral:tRNA from 1 species
GGAGUCUUACUCAAACGGUAAAGAGGUUGCUUUGCUAAAGCAAUAGGCGAGAAUUCGUGCGUGGGUUCGAAUCCCACAGGCUCCU